rnacentral:rRNA from 1 species
CGAAGGGGGCUAGCGUUGCUCGGAAUUACUGGGCGUAAAGGGCGCGUAGGCGGCACUGUUAGUCAGGCGUGAAAUUCCUGGGCUCAACCUGGGGACUGCGCUUGAUACGGCAGAGCUAGAGGAUGGAAGAGGCUCGCGGAAUUCCCAGUGUAGAGGUGAAAUUCGUAGCUAUUGGGAAGAACACCGGUGGCGAAGGCGGCGAGCUGGUCCAUUACUGACGCUGAGGCGCGACAGCGUGGGGAGCAAACAGGAUUAGAUACCCUGGUAGUCCACGCCGUAAACGGUGUGCGCUGGAUGUUGGGUGGCCUAGCCACUCAGUGUCGUAGCUAACGCGGUAAGCGCACCGCCUGGGGAGUACGGCCGCAAGGUUG